rnacentral:tRNA from 1 species
AAAGGGAGACCUAACUCGGGUAUAAGACGAAAAAAUAGUAGUCGAAACCAAGAAUCAAUCCCAAAAGGUCGGAACGAGGUAUGUGGCUUUCAAACUAGGUUCUGGGUUCAUAAAAGACCUGAAUCAGGAACAAGGGCUAUUAGCUCAGGUGGUUAGAGCGCACCCCUGAUAAGGGUGAGGUCCCUGGUUCGAGUCCAGGAUGGCCCACCUGCACAGGUGGCAAAAACAAGAGAAGCGAGGAAUCAGCACCUUAUCUUACUUAUAUAGUAAGAGAGAAUGCUGGCUCUGAGUAAAGAGUCCAGAGGAACCUUGAAAACUGCAUAGAGCUAGGUGAAAAAGCCAAAAAAGAAGACCGCAAG